UUCAUAAUAAAUAUGCAUAUACGGCGUAUUGAUUUGUGGCUGCACAUGCAUCACUCGCUAUUCUUCCUUGUGUAAUAAGUAUUCUGAUUUAUGUGUGUAUUAAUGUAACGUCACCAUCUUGUUCAGUAUCGAAUGACAAAAUUCAAAUUGGUCUACAUAUGCAUAAUCAAUCACAGUUUCGUUUAUACAUACCCGAGUCAUGUGGAGACUGGUUAUUGUUCGAGUGAUUAAUAGUAUAAAAUGGAAAAUUACACGGUUUUUAAUUAUUCUGGAAGUUGAAUCGUAUAGCACAAAUAGUUGAACAAAAUGCAAUUAACAAUCUACUUUUUAAAACAAAGGAUGAUUAAAAUAAUUUUAUUUAAGGGCGACGUAUGUAUGUAGGAACUAUUAUUGCAGCUGAGCUGUAAUAUUGAAUUCAGUUUCUUCUUAAUUUCAUGCCAUUGUUUAAGAAGAUCCUUGUUCAAUAGAAAAGCCGACCACUACUUGGCGAAUACGGCAGCAUUGAUAUCAUGCUACUUACCAUCUCGAUAUUAUUGGCCCUCUCCAUUUCCAUGCAAGUUGAUGGUAGAAGAUUCAAGGAUGGUUUGACGACCAAAUGUUUGGACAACGUGGUCAAACCGAAGGUCUCCAAGGGGAGUGCCCACACGAAUCCUUGUAAUGGUGGCAGCCAUCAAAACUGGCACUGGGGUAAGGAUCACACCAUUAAGAACUUCGCCACUGGGCAAUGUUUAGAGGCGGAUGGAAAAACGGUCUACACGAUGAGUUGUCAUGGGACGAAGACGAGUCAGAAAUGGAGAGGUGACGGGGCAGGAAGCAUUAUCAAUUUCGCAUCAAAAAAGUGUCUCAAGAGUUCGAUGAAGGGACUCGCAUUUCCACAGGAUUGCAGUAUCGGAAGGAAGGCUUGGUUGGAGUGAAAGUAUUAUGUAUGUAUGUAGCUACAUGAAUAUAUGGAAUGUGAACCGUUUUGAAUGUGUAUCAGCAAAGCUAUUUUCGUAUUUUUAUGUAAGAAAUAACAGAUAUGUAUGUAUUUAUAGGCAUCCAUGCACAUAUGCAAUAUUACUGUUCAUGUAAAAAAUGUGGCCUUCGAAAGCCAAAAGGUUAUCUGGCAGCUAUUUUAAAUAAUUUUAAGGGAUACAUAUAUUAGCAAUUUGUAUUCUCCCACCGAAUUGCUGUAUGGGAUAAAAUAAUCAAAAUGAAAAAAUUCCUCCAGGUAACCUUUAGGAAUUUCUAGGGUCGCAUUUUUUAUUGGUAAUUAUUACAUAUAUUAUUAGAGUAAUUAUUACAGGUAAUUAGUUGACUUACAAUAAGCUAAGUAAUAUGCAUGUAGUACAUUAAAUUAUGUAUGUAUUUAGUUACACUUUAGCAUCUUAUUAACUGAUUGAUUACACAAAUACAUGUGUGUAUUACGAAUGUAUGUACGUGUCAUAAACUUUUACUACUUAUUGAUUCUCAUGAGAAAAAUAAAACCUGAAGUACUUAUCGCUACA